rnacentral:rRNA from 1 species
CCUACGGGAGGCAGCAGUGGGGAAUAUUGCACAAUGGGGGAAACCCUGAUGCAGCGACGCCGCGUGAGCGAUGAAGUAUUUCGGUAUGUAAAGCUCUAUCAGCAGGGAAGAAAAUGACGGUACCUGAAGCAUAAGCCACGGCUAACUACGUGCCAGACGCCGCGGUAAUACGUAGGUGGCAAGCGUUGUCCGGAUUUACUGGGUGUAAAGGGGGUGUAGCCGGGUUGACAAGUCAGAUGUGGAAUCCUGCGGCUUAACCGCAGAACUGCAUUUGAUACUGUUGAACUUGAGUACGGGAGAGGCAGACGGAAUUCCUAGUGUAGCGGUGAAAUGCGUAGAUAUUAGGAGGAACACCAGUGGCGAAGGCGGUCUGCUGGACAGCAACUGACGGUGAGGCGCGAAAGCGUGGGGAGCAAACAGGAUUAGAUACCCUUGUAGUC